GAGCGGUUUCAUUAUGUGUCUUUAUGUUGACGAUGCAGGGGGGAGGAAGGACUCCUUUUGCUUUUGUGUACACAACAACAACAACAACAACAAACAAUGUAUAACUGUGGACAUAAAGUUAUCUCAGCGCACCUAUGUCACCUGUCUCACCACAGCUCACCUGUUUCACCCGUCUCAGAGCAACACGCUCAGGAGGACGACACCCGGAGCGCUUCCUGCAGAACAAAGACUAAAACUCCACCUGAGACGGAGUGAAGAAGACUUGAAGAAGACUUCAGUUCUCUCUGAAGUGAAGAAGACUUGAAGAAGACUUCAGUGAAGAAGACUUCAGUUCUCUCUGAAGUGAAGAAGACCCUCAAAGGUCAGAAGCUGUUUCACCAAAGUUGAACUCUUUAAUCCACUGAUUUAAUGAACUGCAUCAAUCUCUCUGUGGGUCCUGGUCCUGGUUCUGAUCCUGGCCCUGGUCCUAGUUCUGAUCCUGGGCCUUUGUGCCGGCCCUCUAACAUUUGUUAGGCGUCAUUAUCGACUUAAUUAAAUAAGACGGUGCAUAUUUUGUACUUCUUUGUCUUCAAGUAUUGUAUCUUUCUUCAGUACUAUUUUGAGGUAAUUGUACUUUUUAUUACGCUACAUUUAUUUAUUGAGCACCUUCUAAGUUACUGAUUACUUCGCAGGUUUGGAUUUACGAUAAAUAAAUAUAUAUAAUUAACAACUGAAUAACAAUGUGUAAUUGCAUCAGAUAAAGGACUCAUCUCCGUACUGGUCUUGUUAGACCUUAGUGCUGCGU